rnacentral:rRNA from 1 species
UGAGCUUGAUCCUGGCUCAGGACGAACGCUGGCGGCGUGCCUAAUACAUGCAAGUCGAGCGAAUGGAGGGGAGCUUGCUCCCUGAAGUUAGCGGCGGACGGGUGAGUAACACGUGGGCAACCUGCCCUGUAGACUGGGAUAACAUCGAGAAAUCGGUGCUAAUACCGGAUAAUCAAAGGAAUCACAUGGUUCUUUUGUAAAAGAUGGCUUCGGCUAUCACUAUAGGAUGGGCCCGCGGUGCAUUAGCUAGUUGGUGGGGUAGAGGCUCACCAAGGCAACGAUGCAUAGCCGACCUGAGAGGGUGAUCGGCCACACUGGGACUGAGACACGGCCCAGACUCCUACGGGAGGCAGCAGUAGGGAAUCUUCCGCAAUGGACGAAAGUCUGACGGAGCAACGCCGCGUGAGUGAUGAAGGUUUUCGGAUCGUAAAGCUCUGUUGUUAGGGAAGAACAAGUACCGUUCGAAUAGGGCGGUACCUUGACGGUACCUAACCAGAAGCACCG